ensembl:lncRNA
ACUUCAGUCGUGUUCAACUCUGUGCAACCCUAUGGACCGUAGUCUGCCGGGCUCCUCUGUCCAUGGAAUUCUUCAGGCAAGAAUACUAGAGUGGGAUGCUGUGACCUCCUCCGAGGGAUCUUCCCAACACAGGGAUGGAACGCAGGCAGGACGAGAAGGGGGCGGCAGAGGAUGAGAUGGCUGGAUGGUGUCACCGGCUCAAUGGACAUGAGCUUGAACAACCUUCAGGAGAUAGUGAAGGACAGGGAAUCCUGGCGUGCUGCAGCCCACGGGGUCACAGAGAGGUGGACACAACUUAGUGGCUGGACAAUAACAUGCUGAGGCCAACAGAUCGGGAGGGUCUUUUCCAGUGAGUCAGUUAUUCGCAUCAGGUGGCCAAAGGAUUGGAGUUUCAGCUUCAGCAUCAGUCCUUCCAAUGAACACCCAAGACUGAUCUCCUUUAGGAUGGACUGGUUGGAUUUCCUUGCAGUCCAAGGGACUCUCAAGAGUCUUCUCCAACACCACAGUUCAAAAGCAUCAAUUCUUAGGCACUCAGCUUUCUCCUGGAGUGAUUAGGGUAGGGGAAUAUUGGCCCUGGGGUGUAAGAGCCCUGUGAGAGCCUAGAAGGAGGUGGUUGGAGGAAGCCUUUGGGUUCAUUUGCAUACGAUAAGUGUGCUCCUGGGUGAGUCAUUUGCCAUUGCUAGGAACUAGCUAAACUUGGGAGCUCACAGUCAGCUCAGAAGGCCCAGAUGACAGAGGGUGGAAAAUAUAGAAAAUAAGAGGAUAUAGUUACUACAGGGAGUUGGAGCCAGAAGUGGGAGAG